AUCACAAGCCCCUGUGUCAGCACCAGGCAGUGGAUAUGCUCAGCCUUGUCCCAGGCCGGGCGGGCGGGGGCAGGCGGCAGGUGAGGAGGAUGAGGAUGGUCGGGCCCUCCCUUCCAGACGAACCCACCUGGCCAGCUUUGCUUUGGGGAAGAACAAGGGAGCCGAUCUUUUAGGCUGGGCUGAAAUGGGAUCUUGCUCUGUUGCCCAGGCUGGUGUGCAGUGGUGCGAUCACAGCUCUCUGCAGCCUUGACCUCCUGGGCUCAAGUGACCUCCUGCCUCAGCCUCUCGAGUAGCUAGGACUACAAGUGUGAGCCGCUGCACCCAGCCUAGGUCAAAAUUUAAGGGAGGCAUGAAACAUGGAUCCCACAAGAUUUGCCUGACUCCACUUGACAGUCGGUCUGCUCCAAUCCGCUGUCUCUUGGACACUUGCUCUUCUCUCCAGAGGCCAUCUGGGUUGGAGGAGAGAAAGGCCCCCUGCCUUCCUGAGAAUGGUCCAUGCACCCCACCUAGCCCCGCUCUGCCACAAAGUGCCAUUGUGCUGCUCUUUGUCCCCCAGCUGUGAAUUACAUUCAGUGUACCUCCCACACAUCAGUGAGGGCCUCGGGGCAACCUGGUUGAUUUUUAUUUUGAUGAGAUUUCAGGAAAAAUAAAUAAGUAAAAUGUAAAUCCUGUUGGCGAACAUAUACUUUCCAUACAGCC
rnacentral:lncRNA from 1 species